UCCCGGUUCACUUCGGAGCGCUAGUGAAGGAGAUGGGGAGCGAGAUGGAGGCUUGGCUCCGUGCGGGCCUUCUUAGGCGUCUUGCUUUCUCUGUAAUCCCGAGGGAGUGGAGAGAUAGCGGCUAAUUUCCUUUUGUUUUCCGCCCUUUAAGGGCUUGUAGCUGCAUCGCAGCAAAACCUCUUCUUUAAACCGACGAUAUACCUUGCUUGGGUAUAUUCUAGAAAAAAACAUUUCAAAACGUAUCUAAUGAUGCUAGUUUGGUGCAACAAGUAUUGCUACGUUUUUUAAUAAAGUCGGUCAUUUUUGAGUUAGGACAAACCUAAAAGUUCACUUAUUUGCGGACGGAGUGAGUAUGUGGUUCCAGAAAUUGAUGCUGGAGAUUUGUUUAAGUCUAUUUUAGAAAUUAAGAGUACAUAAUAUAAAGCUCUUGUUGUAGGUGAAGGAAUGCAAUUUUUCUGUGAAACUCAGAACAAAAGGCAAGGAAUUUUUUUUUCUUUUUUCUCACGAACUCCAAAUGACAUCCCUAAAUAGGAAAAUGCGAUUUAUAUGAACACUCUGAUUUAUAUAUAUAUAUAUAUAUUCAAAAUAAGUAGGAUCAUAAAUCCAGUUUUCUGAGAAACUCCUUACGAAAUCAUUUAAUAGCC
rnacentral:lncRNA from 1 species